rnacentral:tRNA from 1 species
GCGGGAGUAGCUCAGUUGGUAGAGCAUGACCCUUCCAAGGUCAGGGUCGCGGGUUCGAGCCUCGUCUCCCGCU